AUACCUUGACCAGAGAAUAACCCGUUAUCUUCACCCAAGAGACUUACUGUUGGGCUAUCAUUUUGGCGUUAAAGGUAAAUGUCUAACAAUGUCUAGUUACUGGGCCAAAAGGAGAAGAAUAUUGAAAGGAGUUGAGAGGGACAAACAGGAAAUUGCAGCUGCAAACAAUGCUCUAUUUGCUAUUAUUCCCGACUUACUCCCGACUGACCAAGUAAAUCCUCAUGGAAUGGCUACAACAAGCCAUGUACAAACUGUAACCCCUGAAGCACAGGAAACACUUGUUGAUGAGGUAUAUGAACCAGGUGAAAUGUUUUCCUCAAGCACAGAAGAUAGUGAAGAGGAAGAGGAUUGCCUAAGGACACAAUUGGCAGGGAGGGCUAUUGACAACAUGAUCCCCCAUCAUGAAGGGAUGCUGUUUGCCAUUGUUCAGUUUAUUGAUGAGGGGGAUCUGCCGUUUGCAGUGGUUCCGCAAGUGUGGCUCAGCGAGGGCAUGUGCUAUUGGUCCCCAUUUAACCUCCGCAAAAAGGACAAAGGCAACAAUUUAGCCAUCCGCUGCACGCCUCCACACAGCACCUGGGAGAAACAUUUUAAGUUCAUGAAGGGAGCAGGUAAAUGGGUCUGACUUGUGCAUUUUAUUUUCCUGCAUUUCAUCUGUGUAAUUUCUGUUUAUGGUGCAUAACUGACUCUUUCAUUCAUUAUUCCCUGAUCUAGAAUCUUGGAAAGAGGUGACAAGAUAUUUGAUGCGCUUCCAAACAGGUUCCUGCGUUGAAACGACGGAUGAUGACAAGAAGGGAAAGCGAAAGAGAAUUUCAAACUCUAAGUACAGACCCCAGGCCUCUUCUGAUAAAGAGGAGUCUUGUCUUCCAGAUGCACCAGCAGUGCUCUCGUUUCGACAACCUCUUUUGAACUUGGAAAACAUUGUUCCCGGUAAUGUUUCAGUGCUGCCCGAUGCUCCAGAAGUUUCAUUGGUUCAAGAAAACCAGGAAAAUGUGGAGCCAUCUGUAGACUUCAGAGCUGGUAUGUAAAAUGUAUUGCUGUGAUGCUUUAUUUGUGAUCCUGCCACUAAACUAUACCCUUUGUUAGAUUUUCAAAUUUCUGUUUCCUCUUUCUCGGAAAUGAUGUUAUUUGUGACGUUUUUCUUUUGUCCUGGAAACUAUUGCUUCUAUUUAAGAUGAGGAAUCCUUUUAUCCAUAAUCUGUUUUUCAUUAGGGCACUUGACUUUCUGGAUGAAAGGUGUCGGUGUGUUGUACAUAUCAUUAGCUUUGCACAGUUCAAUUAUUGUUUCAUUACAGAAUAUGCAAUCUCUGCAGUGAAAUUAAAGCUGUUAUGUUUGUUCCCCCAGUUCGUCAAGUACUAAACUUUACACCCCCAGCAAAAAAUGUACCCUGGCA
ensembl:lncRNA